CCCGUGAUCAACAUGGUAGGCGCAGAAAAGAACAUCGAAAGUUGAUAGGGCAGACAUUCAAAUGGAUCGUCGCAGUCACAGGGACAUGCAAUCGCCCAGAGGUUAUCUAGAGUCAUCAAAGCCGCC